GAUAUUAUAUUCUCACAAAGUAUCUACCCUGAACAAAUUCUCAGAAGUUCCUUUAUGGUUGUUAAAAAGACAUUUGAUUUAUUUUAUGACACUGCAAAUAUGAAAUAAGUAAAAUAUUAUAUCCCCGAAUAAAAAAGCAGAGUUUGCUGUUUCUAAGAAUUUAUAUUUAUGAAAACUGCAUCUGUGUUUUUAUUUUGUCUGCAAUGAAAAUAUGUGCUCCAGCAGCACAUCACUGAAUAUAUCAAUACAAUUUGAUACAGCAGGGCUCCUUCCUAAAAAGGGUUCACAGUCCAGCUAGAAGGAAAAACUCAACAGAUGUUUCCUCUGUUAUUAUUAUGCAUUUAAAAAUAUAAGUAUAUUUUUAAAAACCAGUAUAGAAGGGCACAUAGUGAAAACCAAGUCUCCCUCAAUAUUAAUCACACUCCCCAUGGGCAACCACUCUUAACAUCUGGUGUGUCCUUCGUAAUUCACGUACGCAGAUGUAAACAUACAUCCACAUUUCAUCUGUAAAAGGGCAUGAUAAUAACACUUACUAUAGUACAGUUUUUGUGAGAACUAAAGAAAAAAACACAAAGAAGUUGUCAUUGUGUUUAUAGUAAAUAUCAGUUAUUAAUAUUUUCCAACUUCAUCUAUACACCUACCUCCCUAUUACGGAAGUUAACAUUUAUCCAGUCUCCAAACUAGCUCUAGCCACUCUGUCAUUGCCCUGGCUAUCCCUUUCCCUGGGCUCAAAUUUCAGCAGAUGCGCACAUCUACGACAUUACGAAAGCAUCUACACCAGUUUCCCUCAAAAUUCUUGAGCAUCCUGAGGCAAAGGAAACAAAAGUAAAAGUGAACUAUUGGGACCUCAUCAAGAUAAAAAGCUUCUGCACAGCGAAGUUAACAGUCAACAAAAAUAAAGGCAACCGAUAGAAUGGGAGAAUAUAUUUGCAACUGACAUAUCAGAUAAAGAGUUAAUAUCCAAAGGGCGCCUUGGUGGCUCAGUUGGUUAAGCAUCGGACUUCGGCUCAGGUCAUGAUCUCGUGGUCCGUGGGUUUGAGCCCCACGUCGGGCUCUGUGCUGACAGGUCGGAGCCUGGAGCCUGUUUCGGAUUCUGUGUCUCCCUUUCUCUGACCCUCCUUGUUCAUGCUCUCUCUGUCUGUCUCAAAAAUAAAUAAAUGUUAAAAAAAUUUUUUAUUAAAAGU
rnacentral:lncRNA from 1 species